rnacentral:tRNA from 1 species
GCGGAUGUGGCGGAAUUGGUAGACGCGCCAGACUUAGGAUCUGGUGCCGCAAGGCAUGGGGGUUCGAGUCCCUUCAUCCGCA